AUCUAUAGGGGUGAUAUGUCUCUCUCUUCCUCCCCAACCCUGCCCACCUCCCUGUACCAGAGCCAUGAACUCUCGGGGCCCCAUCUCUGCUUCCCCCCCUCCCCGGGUGUGGUGGAGGGAGAGGUGACACCACAAAACGGUUUCUGUGUCCCACUGUCUUAAAGCCAGGCCUGCCAAAGCCUGGGCCCUCAGCCACACUGGGAGUCCCAGGGGAGGGAUGGGUUGGGAGAACUGCAUAUGUAAGCCCUGGGCAAGGGGAUAGGGUUGGGGGGCUGGCACAGGCUUCAGAAGUAUUUGCACAAUUAGAAAAGUCCCCAAAAGCUUUUUCCUUGGAGGGUACACUUCCUUCACUGUCCUUAUUGCUAGGCCUGGGGCUUGAGCUGAGGAUGGGAUGAUGUGCCCAGGGACGGACCCACCAGAGCACAAGGGAAGGUGGCUCCCUGGGGGGCAUCCCCAGGACUCCCCUCAGUGCCUUCAGCCCACCAGCAGGACCUGGAGUUUGGGGAGUAGGGAUGAGUCAGUCAAGCACAAUUGUUCUCUGAGUGGAACCAAAGAAGCAAGGAGCUGGGGCCCCCAGCCCUGGCCCCCCAGGAGCACAAGCGGGGUCCCCACAGCCAAGGCAGUGGGGUUGGCUGUUGAGGAAUGGGCAGGCAAGGUCACCGCUUAGUCCUGUCCACGGGCGAUGAGCUGUGGGUUCUGCUGAGUGGGUGGAGCUCACUGCUUUCUCCCAGCUUGGAGCCAUUUUGAAAGCUAAUGCAGAGGGAAAGGGAGGGCCACCUGGUACUUGUCUACCCUGCCUCCUCUGUUCUGAAACUCCAACCCCCUCAGCUUGGGGGAAUGCACCUUUUUCCUUUUCCUUCUCACUUUUGCAUGUUUUUACUGAUCAUUCAAUAUGCUAACCAUUCUCAGCCCUGAGCCUUGGAGAGGAGGGCUGUGAGCCUUCGGUCAGUCUCUGGGGAUGAAACUUACAUGCUUUGUAUAUUUUCUCAAUUAGAUCUCUUUUCAGAAGUGUCUGUAGAACAAUAAAAAUCUUUUACUUCUGAA